CAAUGCCUACGCGCCGCAUGCCAUCUGCUGGGUCGCGUGCGGGCUACGCAGUUGGGUCGGGUGCCCCGUCCUUGCCUCACGAAAAAAAUCCAACCGCUGGCACCACUGCUGCCUCGCACCAUCCGCUGUCCUCAUUGCCUUCUGCACUCCAUUUUGUGAUUCCCACAAGGCCACAAGCGGUCAUCCUUCACUCCGGAUAAAAUCCAGCGCCGACCAAGCCUUGGCCCUCGGCUGCUCCGCUAACCUUUCACCUCCGCCCUAUUCAUGUACCCCUCCACCUGCCCACCUCGACCCCAAGACACGGCAGCGGUGGCGGCGGCGCGGCCAACCAGUUCUUUCCUCCCUCACCCUCGGCCCCUCAUCAUAGAAACGAGGAUUGUGGUUGCGACGGCCUCACCUGCGGCCUCCCCCUGCCAUGGUGAUGACUCCCAUGGAGAGCUCCACCCCCUAAUCUGGCUCCACGGCGUCCUCCUCCGCAGCUUAUCUGCCUUUGUUAACCCCGGAGAGCACGACCUGAAACACAAGGGCUCCGACGAGGCGACGAGGGAAGGAGCGGCCUUGGGCGGACCAAGUUUCGUCGAUCCGAUGAUGACGUCGUAUCGCUUCAACAGCAUUGUUUUGGGUCGCACAGGGAUGGUUGAUUUGGGGUCACCAAGCCCACGCACAACCAAUAUGCUUUAGUAUGUCUAUUAAGGUUUCCAUUUCAAGUUAUGCCAAGUACCACGGUUUGUGCUGCUGUUUAGUUCAUCUCGUGCGCUGCCUUUAAGGGUUAUAACAAACUUUCACGUGUUCUCGGCACAUCAAUAUAACAAGUACAAAGAUGCCUACCUCUCUUUCACAUUGCAUACAUUAAUUUUAUCAACAAUUCCAGUUAAAAAGUAUUGGAAAGAAAGUAUGAGGCAUGAGAGCAGUCAACUUGAGUAUGUUAUUUUAGUUGGCAGAGAAUCUUUAAGUCAUAUGGGUUAUUUUGAUGUUUUCGAGAAACAAGGAUCAAUGGACCAUAAGGUCAGUUAUUCUUAGAGUGAAUUGUCAUUUUAAUUCAAGUUAUUGGCUCUUAUAUUGUUUUAGAAGAAGCAAAUACUGAAGACUUUGCAAGACACCUUAUGCUCCUGUUGAAUAGCAUCUUCAAGGAUGGAAUGGACAACCUAGGAUCACACCCACAUUUUUUAUUACUUUUCAUUCUAAUAAAUUCAGAUGUUUUCUCAGCCCCCCCCCCCCAAAAAAACCCUGCUACUAGAACCAAGCAAAAACAUAUUUCAAUCAUGGUUAUCAUUGUGCUACAUAAACACUAUGCACGUCUUAGUGCAAUUUGAUUCCAAUGGCAUGAGAUAGGGAAUUUAUGCGCAAUUAGUCCUUGCAUUACGAGGCACCACUCUCUUUACCAAGUUUGGAUGUAGCAUCAAUAUAAUAGGCUUUGAAUCUUUAAAUAAAACACUGUUGCUGCAAUCAAGAAGUUGACAAAAUUUCACAUCUCUGAAUCUGUAGGCUCUAAAGCUUCCAGGCUUUAGCCUCUGUAUUCCAGUUAGAAGUAUCAGAUGUGAACAACCCUUGUGUGUCAUGUACGGCUCACAUAGAUCAUUCUCCCUGAUCUUUACUUAAUUCCAUUGAUUAUACGUCUAUGUCUGCUAUCAUUUGUGUUUUUAUUGUAGCGUGCGUACCUCUACUCAUCUAUUUUUGCUAUAGUUUAGCAUUUCGAAACUCUGCUAUGUGGAUAUGCAGACUGAUGAUUAUAUAUGAAUAUAUCUUCUGCUACCGUUCUGUAGCAAGCAUAGAUAGAAGUUGGUGUAUUUCUUUUUUAUAUGACAUCUACUAUGUUAUUUCUCUUCUUAGUCUGAUCCUUUCUCUCUUUUUUAAACUUAUUUUCCAGGUUUUGGUUGUUCUAGCUCCUCUGCCAAGGAAAUUAAUUUUUACCAACUAGAUUAUUAAAUUAAGACUUUAUGGAUUUUUUUCAUAUCUUUCUUUGCAGACUUUUACACCAUGUGAAUUGCAAUUCCAAAGAGCCAGAACAAUGAACACGUUCCUUUUGGGGGGGGGGGGGAUUUUAGGUGCAGCCAUGAAAUUAUUAUGUGGUAUUAAUGUUUUGCCUUUGAUUCUAAAAGUUUGCCCCUUUGGAUCAAAGGUUCAUUUUUUUUAUUUUCUUUUCUCAUUGCUGAAUGCUCAUGCAAGUUCUUUGGUUUCAAGAAGUGAGGUGAUAAUCUUUGUUUUCUUUAAUAUUUUGAAUAACUACAUAUCCGACACAAUGACAUAAUUUUUUAUCUCAUGUUAUCUCCUUACCAAAAGUAUCAAUAUUCUAUCAUGCCGUAAUAUGUCGUCUCUUCAACAAAUCGAGUACUAUUUUUCAGGUAUAAGGUCAAAAGGAGGUCGGCCAACUAUGAAUGGCAUCCUGUGUAACCUGCAGAUCCCCUAUUUUACUGUUAUUUGUGCUUUUAAUAGAUAGAUUUGUAAUUGACCUAUCUUUGUUUUAUCUUUAUAAUGAUUGAUUGCAUGGCUUGGCAA